AACGCAUAUUGCACUCUCUGGUAUUCCGGAGAGUAUGCCUGUUUCAGUAUCAGUAAACACCAUCAAACACCUCCUUGGAGGAGUUUGGAUUUGAGCGUCGCCGAGAAAACUUACCUCUUUUCGGCCCGCUCGAAAUGCAAGUACACAGGACAGGAUCCUAGACCCCCGAGGUGGGAAAAAAAAGCGUAGUAGUUGACUUUACUGUCUUCUUUCGCUGAAAAAGAACACCCGGUUUUUUUGGGAUCUUGCUGUGCAAAUUCGCAGGAAGAAAAGUAAUAUUCUUUUCACUUCUUGAUCUGAAAUCAGGUAGGACUACCCGCUGAACUUAA
rnacentral:misc_RNA from 2 species